CUAAAGUAAUUAGGACAACGAUAUGUACAACUGAGCAACCACAGGUCAGCAAGGUGUUCUACUGUUUCACGGGGUGUCCCCCAGGGGUCAGUAUUGGGUCCACUUCUAUUUAUCAUUUACCUCCUUCCCCUUGGCACUAU